rnacentral:rRNA from 1 species
AUUGAACGCUGGCGGCAGGCUUAACACAUGCAAGUCGAGCGGAGCGAGGGUGCUUGCACCUUAGCUUAGCGGCGGACGGGUGAGUAAUGCUUAGGAAUCUGCCUAUUAGUGGGGGACAACAUUCCGAAAGGAAUGCUAAUACCGCAUACGCCCUACGGGGGAAGGCAGGGGAUCUUCGGACCUUGAGCUAAUAGAUGAGCCUAAGUCGGAUUAGCUAGUUGGUGGGGUAAAGGCCUACCAAGGCGACGAUCUGUAGCGGGUCUGAGAGGAUGAUCCGCCACACUGGGACUGAGACACGGCCCAGACUCCUACGGGAGGCAGCAGUGGGGAAUAUUGGACAAUGGGCGGAAGUCUGAUCCAGCCAUGCCGCGUGUGUGAAGAAGGCCUUUUGGUUGUAAAGCACUUUAAGCGAGGAGGAGGCUACUUAGAUUAAUACUCUGGGAUAGUGGACGUUACUCGCAGAAUAAGCACCGGCUAACUCUGUGCCAGCAGCCGCCGUAAGAC